GUAACAAGGUUUCCGUAGGUGAACCUGCGGAAGGAUCAUUACAGUAUUCUUUUCAGACUGAACUGUGGUUACAAGCGCUGCUGAAAUAUUGCGUGCGCUGUGCUGCUUUUCGCAUAGUCUGGAAAACCUCUUCACACUUUGUUUUCUUAUUAGAGACAAAUUUGCUUUGGUUUUUUCUGUGUAAAAGCAGAGAAGGCCAGAGAAUAAACAAAACUCUGUUUGUUUCUUCGGAAGCUAAACGUGUAUUUUAAACUUUAGUCAUUUUAAUAAGCUGUAAAAGGCUAUAAAAAAUUAAAACUUUCAACAACGGAUCUCUUGGUUCUCGCAUCGAUGAAGAACGCAGCGAAAUGCGAUAAGUAAUGUGAAUUGCAGAUUUUCGUGAAUCAUUGAAUCUUUGAACGCACAUUGCGCCCUCUGGUAUUCCGGAGGGCAUGCCUGUUUGAGCGUCAUUUCCUUCUCACACCCCCAGGGUUUGGUGAUGAGUGAUACUUCGCAAGAAGUUCACUUGAAAUGCAUUGGCAUGAGUUUUUGUUGUAAUUAACAGUUUGUUUAUUCAAUGUAUUAGGUUUUACCAUCGUUGAUUGACGGCUGAUGAGUGCGACGAAGUAUGGCUCUGCCUAACAAACUUUAUCAUAAAGUUUGACCUCAAAUCAGGUAGGAUUACCCGCUGAACUUAAGCAUAUC
rnacentral:misc_RNA from 1 species